rnacentral:rRNA from 1 species
UACAGAGGGGGCAAGCGUUGUUCGGAAUUACUGGGCGUAAAGGGCGCGUAGGCGGCCUGUUAAGUCGAACGUGAAAUCCCCGGGCUCAACCCGGGAACUGCGUCCGAUACUGGCAGGCUUGAAUCCGGGAGAGGGAUGCGGAAUUCCAGGUGUAGCGGUGAAAUGCGUAGAUAUCUGGAGGAACACCCGUGGCGAAGGCGGCCUGCUGGGCCGAUCCUGACGCUGAGGCGCGAAGGCGUGGGGAGCGAACGGG